GAUGAACGCUGGCGGCGUGCCCAAUACAUGCAAGUCGAGCGAACGGACGAGAAGCUUGCUUUUCUGAUGUUAGCGGCGGACGGGUGAGUAACACGUGGAUAACCUACCUAUAAGACUGGGAUAACUUCGGGAAACCGGAGCUAAUACCGGAUAAUAUUUUGAACCGCAUGGUUCAAAAGUGAAAGACGGUCUUGCUGUCACUUAUAGAUGGAUCCGCGCUGCAUUAGCUAGUUGGUAAGGUAACGGCUUACCAAGGCAACGAUGCAUAGCCGACCUGAGAGGGUGAUCGGCCACACUGGAACUGAGACACGGUCCAGACUCCUACGGGAGGCAGCAGUAGGGAAUCUUCCGCAAUGGGCGAAAGCCUGACGGAGCAACGCCGCGUGAGUGAUGAAGGUCUUCGGAUCGUAAAACUCUGUUAUUAGGGAAGAACAUAUGCGUAAGUAACUGUGCACAUCUUGACGGUACCUAAUCAGAAAGCCACGGCUAACUACGUG
rnacentral:rRNA from 1 species